GCUACACACGUGCUACAAUGGCGCAUACAAAGAGAAGCGACCUCGCGAGAGCAAGCGGACCUCACAAAGUGCGUCGUAGUCCGGAUUGGAGUCUGCAACUCGACUCCAUGAAGUCGGAAUCGCUAGUAAUCGUAGAUCAGAAUGCUACGGUGAAUACGUUCCCGGGCCUUGUA
rnacentral:rRNA from 1 species